CAGAGAAGGGGACAGGAAAGGGUGGAGAACGAACUUUUAUCACAGUUUCCUUUACACUCUUUUCUUCUCAUUCCCGUGAGUGUGAGUGGAACUGGGUUUUGUUUGUUUUUGAGCCCUAGUUGUUGUUAAUUUUAAAAUAUUCACCCAGACCUUGCAAAAUCUUCUAAUGGCAAGUCUGAUUGGAAAGAAAUGUUCAGUCCUUUAACACAGGAAAUUCUAUAAUUACAAGCUGGUAUGCUGCAAAAGUUUAUGUGUAAGAUGAGCACUGGAACUUCUUAUUUAUUUAUUUAUUUAUUGGCCAUGCUUGAAGCAUGUGGAAGUUCCCGGUUGGGGACUGAACCCACACCACAGCAGUAAUCUGAGCCACAGCAGAAAAAGAAACAAACAUUUACAGAGCAUUGUGCUGGCUACUUUUUUCUUCUUUUUUGUCUUUUUAGGUCCACACCCACGGCAUAUGGAGGUUCCCAGGCUAGGGGUUGAAUCAGUGCUGUAGCCACUGGCCUACACCACAGCCACAGCUACAUCUGUGAUCUACACUACAGCUCAUGGCAAUGCAGGAUCCUUUACCCACUGAGCAAAGCCAGGGAUUGAACUGUGUCCUCAUGGAUACUACUCAGACUCGUUUCCUCUGAGCUGUGAUGGGAACUCCAUGCUCUGACAUUUACAUGCUGUCUCACCCAAUUCUCAACAACAAUUCUCUGAGAGAUGUUUCCCCCAUUUUAUAGGAGAGAAAACUGAGGCGCAGAGUAAAGAAAACUGCCCAAGGCUAUCACUGCUUAAGAGGCAGAAUAACAAUUCUAAUGUUGGUGUUUCUGAUUCAAAAAUCUGUGCUUUUCCCACUACACUACUUUGACUUUCUCAAAGAGGUCAUAUAAUGUAUACAAAGGUAAAUUAAAACUCAGAGAGGUGAAGUAAUUUCUCAAUUUCAUAAGACAAAUUAAUGGCAGAUGGAACUAGAACUUCGACCUCUCAAAUCUUGGAUCAGGCCCUAUCUGUUACUUCAUACUUCCUCUUAGGCCUCGUCUGUUUGUCUUCCUGCACCCCAGGAUUAAAUCACAACCCUGAGAUUAAGACAAUGAGUGUGCAUCAGUGUGAGUAGCCUCCUCAUGCUCUUCAAUCCUGAGUUACAUUUAAAUCCUCAGGACAGCGUUGAGGUGUUUACAUGAAACGAAGAUUGCACCACGAAGAUUACACCGAUUCUGAUUUUAUUAAUAAAUUCAUUCUAAAACCAUGAUACACAGAAGCAAUUUUGGUGUCAGUUUUGAAAAAAUACAGGUAUUAAAAUUGAUAACAGAGGUAGUUACCUCUGUGGAAUAAAGCCAGAGAUAAGACUGAGAAGCCUAAAUAGGUAUUGGGUUAGUUCUACUGGUUAUGUUGGGUGAUGUGUAUUCUUUUAUUAGCUUUGCAACUAUAUGAUAUGUCUUCUUUAACUGUGUCAUAGGUUGCAUUGAAAAAAGUAUUAGAAAGAGAAAAAAGCUAAGCCACAUACACUCACCCACACUUCAUAUCACAGCUUCUACAACUAUGUGACCAAGGGCAAAUUACUUACUCUCUGAUCAUCACUUUUCUUAAUUAUAAAUAGGGGUAAUAGUAGCCAGGGUGCUUGUAAAGUAACAUGAGAUCAAGUAUGAAUAAUAAAACAUGGAGAAUAAUGUGAGAAAAAGAAUAUAUAUAUAUAUAUGUAUAUGUAUGUAUUUAUGUAUGUAUGAUUGGGUCACUUUGCUGUACAGUAGAAGUUGACAGAACACUGUAAAUCAACUAUAAUGGAAAAAAUAAAAAUCAUAAAAAAAGAAAAAAAGGAAAAAUAAUUCAUCUUCUGAUAGUAGCUCUUUCACCCCAUUCUGUGACAAUGAUACUGUGUUGCCAUUAUUGGAUUGCUUUCUUCUGCAUUGGAUAAAAGGGACCCUCAUUCAAACAUAAGACCAUAUAUAAUGUAUCUAUAUGUGGUAUUUAUAUCCCUUUUUAUGUAAACUUCACACACUGUUCCUUCAUGUCUUAUUCCCUUCCCCACCCCUUUCCCAUGAUCUCUCCUUGAUCCAAGACUAAAGACUCCCAGCACUGAAGAUCUGUGCCCAUUUAAAGGCUGUCAUGCUUAUCCCAGCUGUUCAUGACUGAGGAACGCACACAAUCCCUGUUAACCCAGCUUGAGCUUUAGAGCUCUGGGCCACCUCUGCAGACUUACCCCGCCCCACAUCUACACACAGGACAGGGAUCUGGGAAAACUAUUUGGCAUUGUCUGCAUUAGCCAAGAACAUGUCUGGUUGUCUCAUCCCAGAAUGCCCUUCCCCCUUCAACAGCCUUCUCAUCCUUCAAGCCCAAAUUGAAACACUUCAUUUGGGGGGAAGCUUGAGGAAUGCACACAAAUCCCUGUCUCAAUCAAAAUGAACAUCUUCAUCUUCUGAGCUCCCCCUGUGCAUUGCCUUUCCAUUGCCUAUUUGGCACUCACAUCAUCUGGCCUUGUGGCACAGAGGGAAGCACACAGGUAAAGCCCAUGGAGUGGUAUGUUCACCAGACAAGGGAGAACCUCUUGUAUGUCUCUGAACUCUCAGUCUCUAUCCACAACUACCAGGAACAGAAGACCCUCAAUACAUAUGUUUGUUGAACUGAACUCUUAACAGGGUACAGAAACUGUUUUUGCUUCCCUUUGAGUCAUGCACAGCUACCAGCAAUUAUACACAUUCCUUAGAUGAGCUCAUGUGAAGUUAAUUAACUCUCCAACUCAGCAGGUUAUCAGAACUGAAUGUACCCAACUCAUCUACAUGCUAACAUAAUAAACAAGCUAUUUCCCCCACGACAUUUCUAAUGGGACCUCUGAAAGAAACUUCCUGCUAGCUGUAUAACUCAAGUAUCUCCCAAAUAGAAGAUUCGAAGCUCAAGGGCUUUUUAAAAGUAAUAAUAUACCUAACCUCCACAAAUACCUUAUCUUUCAAAGACAAUUUUGCUCUACAUCAUUUCAGGAGAAAAUGCAACAUUUAUUAAUUUAGUUUUUUACCCUCAUAGAUUAUAGUCAUGCAUAGUUCAACAGCUGAAUAGGGUAAGGUUUUAGCUGAAUACAAUAAACUUCAAAGGUUAGCGGCUCUCUUUUUAUAUCAGUGGAAUCCUGGUACUGUUUUGGAAGAGUCUUUAUGACUCACCUUCAAUUUCCAUCCACUCAUAGAAUAAAACCACCAUGAAAUAGUGGUUGGAAAGAAGGAUUUAAAAUCAAGCUUCAACCAUGGUAGAUUCAAAAUCCAGCCAAUGCCAGCCAAAUAUGAGCUCGAAAGUGCUCAUAAGAAGAGAGUAGGGUUUACAAAACAAUCCUCUUUGAUGAGUUAAGCACAAGUGAAUCAGAAACAUAUGGGUUAAAUUCCCCUUGAAAUACCCAUGGAUUUAAAAUUAAGUGGAAAAGUGCUUGGCACGGCAUAAAUUCCAAGCAUCUGAAAUGUAGUUAAAGAUCAUUUUCUUUGAGACCUUAACAAGAGUUUCCCUGAGAUUUCUUGCACAAAACGCCAGGUACUUCUUAUGUCAAUGGCAGGUACUUUUCACAGCAAAGGUAGUGGACAGAAGAGUCUCAUCUGAAUUCCAGUCCUGCCCACCAGCGGCACUCUGCCACUCGGUUCCUUCAAGUGUCAAGUGGAGAUGAGAGCUUCUUACAUGGUUGUCAAAGUUUAGGUGAGAUACUAAAUCUUAAAUAUGCAAAAUACCCAGAAGGGUCCCCAGUACAUAGUUUUUAUUAGUGACAUUUUAAAAAUCAUCACCCAGAAAGGGGCUGAUGAUACAGUAACUCAAGCUUCUUAAAGUAAUGUCAAACAUCCAAGUAAGAUAAAUUAAUAAGAAUCACCUACCCCAUCUUCCAGAUUUUUUUUUUAAGGAUGCACUUAUUUGUAGCAGACUGUACCAAUGAAGGAAGGGCUUUGAGGUUCCCAAGCCCAAGACUAAGAGGUGGGUGGAAUGCAUACUACAAAACUAUAACAGAGAGGGUCUGUGUUUUGUGGAAGGAAGCAGUGUGGUAAGUGGAAAGAUUGGUACUUAGAAUCAGAAUCUCCAUUCAUUCAAGGGUUUGUUAAUAUUACACGAAUCUCUGGCUUUUAGGAUCAGAAAGGUCCUACCUUUUCUUUGUAGAUGAAAAAACUUAUGAGGGCAGGGAAAUGAUUUUCCCAAGGUCACACAGCUAGUGAAAAGCUGAGCCAGCACUAGAACUCAUUUCCUGCCUCCUAGUCCAGUACUAUUCUCACUAAAUCAUGUUACUACUCUGGAUAGGAGCCUGAUAAACUCUGAUGCCAAGUGGCAAUUGGUUUCUCCUUCAGGGGAGCAAUGAAAGGGGCAGCAGAGUCCUUUUUAACCUUGGAACAUGCCAGAGAUGGCGUCAAGAAAGCCAGGUUUAAACCAGGUCAGCCAGAAGGGUUUGUCUAAAGCACAGCUGAGCAAGCUCCACUCAAGCCAGGAUUCCGUCAGUACAACGGGUGUGUCAGCAACAAAGUUGAGCGAACCAAGCUCAAGCCAAGUAUUCAUUGAGAAGGCUAGGCAAGAUGGGUCCAGGUUGGGGAAGGGAAGAGAAAAGGAUCAGGUGAAAUUGUAAGGAAAGAUACUAGGUGACUACUGCAUUCUUCUCUAUAGCGUCUUUUCUCCACUGGGGCUGCUCCCAGCACGUACUGCUGUUUG
rnacentral:lncRNA from 1 species